AGAGCGAACGCUGGCGGCAGGCCUAAUACAUGCAAGUCGAACGGACCCUUCGGGGUUAGUGGCGGACGGGUGAGUAACACGUGGGAACGUGCCCUUUGGUUCGGAACAACUCAGGGAAACUUGAGCUAAUACCGAAUGUGCCCCCUCCUUUGAUUAGGGGGGUGGGAAAGAUUUAUCGCCAUUGGAGCGGCCCGCGUCUGAUUAGCUAGUUGGUGGGGUAAAGGCCCACCAAGGCUACGAUCAGUAGCUGGUCUGAGAGGAUGAUCAGCCACACUGGGACUGAGACACGGCCCAGACUCCUACGGGAGGCAGCAGUGGGGAAUAUUGGACAAUGGGCGCAAGCCUGAUCCAGCCAUGCCGCGUGGAUGAUGAAGGCCCUAGGGUUGUAAAGUCCUUUCGACGGGGAAGAUAAUGACGGUACCGUAGAAGAAGCCCCGGCUAACUUCGCGCCAGCAGCCGC
rnacentral:rRNA from 1 species